rnacentral:rRNA from 1 species
AUUGAACGCUGGCGGCAGGCCUAACACAUGCAAGUCGAGCGGAGCCGCGGAGGGGCGAGUAAUGCCUAGGAAUCUGCCAGGUAGUGGGGGAUAACGGCCGGAAACGGGGGAAAAUACCGCAUAGCAUCGCAUGAUCCUAGGUCGGAUUAGGAAGGUGGUGGGGUAAUGGCCUACAAAGGCGACGAUCCGUAGCUGGUCUGAGAGGAUGAGCAGUCACACUGGAACUGAGACACGGUCCAGACUCCUACGGGAGGCAGCAGUGGGGAAUAUUGGACAAUGGGGGAAAGCCUGAUGCAGCCAUGCCGCGUGUGUGAAGAAGGUCUUCGGGUUGUAAAGCACUUUAAGCUGGGAGGCGUUACUAGCAGAAUAAGCACCGGCUAACUUCGUGCCAGCAGCCGCGGUAAUUC